UUAAGUUAUUAAGGGCGCACGGUGGAUGCCUUGGCACUAGAAGCCGAUGAAGGACGUUACUAACGACGAUAUGCUUUGGGGAGCUGUAAGUAAGCUUUGAUCCAGAGAUUUCCGAAUGGGGAAACCCAGCAUGAGUUAUGUCAUGUUAUCGAUAUGUGAAUACAUAGCAUAUCAGAAGGCACACCCGGAGAACUGAAACAUCUUAGUACCCGGAGGAAGAGAAAGAAAAUUCGAUUCCCUUAGUAGCGGCGAGCGAAACGGGAAGAGCCCAAACCAACAAGCUUGCUUGUUGGGGUUGUAGGACACUCUAUACGGAGUUACAAAGGACGACAUUAGACGAAUCAUCUGGAAAGAUGAAUCAAAGAAGGUAAUAAUCCUGUAGUCGAAAAUGUUGUCUCUCUUGAGUGGAUCCUGAGUACGACGGAGCACGUGAAAUUCCGUCGGAAUCUGGGAGGACCAUCUCCUAAGGCUAAAUACUCUCUAGUGACCGAUAGUGAACCAGUACCGUGAGGGAAAGGUGAAAAGCACCCCGGAAGGGGAGUGAAAUAGAACCUGAAACCGUGUGCUUACAAGUAGUCAGAGCCCGUUAAUGGGUGAUGGCGUGCCUUUUGUAGAAUGAACCGGCGAGUUACGAUUUGAUGCAAGGUUAAGCAGUAAAUGUGGAGCCGUAGCGAAAGCGAGUCUGAAUAGGGCGUUUAGUAUUUGGUCGUAGACCCGAAACCAGGUGAUCUACCCUUGGUCAGGUUGAAGUUCAGGUAACACUGAAUGGAGGACCGAACCGACUUACGUUGAAAAGUGAGCGGAUGAACUGAGGGUAGCGGAGAAAUUCCAAUCGAACCUGGAGAUAGCUGGUUCUCUCCGAAAUAGCUUUAGGGCUAGCCUCAAGUGAUGAUUAUUGGAGGUAGAGCACUGUUUGGACGAGGGGCCCCUCUCGGGUUACCGAAUUCAGACAAACUCCGAAUGCCAAUUAAUUUAACUUGGGAGUCAGAACAUGGGUGAUAAGGUCCGUGUUCGAAAGGGAAACAGCCCAGACCACCAGCUAAGGUCCCAAAAUAUAUGUUAAGUGGAAAAGGAUGUGGCGUUGCCCAGACAACUAGGAUGUUGGCUUAGAAGCAGCCAUCAUUUAAAGAGUGCGUAAUAGCUCACUAGUCGAGUGACACUGCGCCGAAAAUGUACCGGGGCUAAACAUAUUACCGAAGCUGUGGAUUGUCCUUUGGACAAUGGUAGGAGAGCGUUCUAAGGGCGUUGAAGCAUGAUCGUAAGGACAUGUGGAGCGCUUAGAAGUGAGAAUGCCGGUGUGAGUAGCGAAAGACGGGUGAGAAUCCCGUCCACCGAUUGACUAAGGUUUCCAGAGGAAGGCUCGUCCGCUCUGGGUUAGUCGGGUCCUAAGCUGAGGCCGACAGGCGUAGGCGAUGGAUAACAGGUUGAUAUUCCUGUACCACCUAUAAUCGUUUUAAUCGAUGGGGGGACGCAGUAGGAUAGGCGAAGCGUGCGAUUGGAUUGCACGUCUAAGCAGUAAGGCUGAGUAUUAGGCAAAUCCGGUACUCGUUAAGGCUGAGCUGUGAUGGGGAGAAGACAUUGUGUCUUCGAGUCGUUGAUUUCACACUGCCGAGAAAAGCCUCUAGAUAGAAAAUAGGUGCCCGUACCGCAAACCGACACAGGUAGUCAAGAUGAGAAUUCUAAGGUGAGCGAGCGAACUCUCGUUAAGGAACUCGGCAAAAUGACCCCGUAACUUCGGGAGAAGGGGUGCUCUUUAGGGUUAACGCCCAGAAGAGCCGCAGUGAAUAGGCCCAAGCGACUGUUUAUCAAAAACACAGGUCUCUGCUAAACCGUAAGGUGAUGUAUAGGGGCUGACGCCUGCCCGGUGCUGGAAGGUUAAGAGGAGUGGUUAGCUUCUGCGAAGCUACGAAUCGAAGCCCCAGUAAACGGCGGCCGUAACUAUAACGGUCCUAAGGUAGCGAAAUUCCUUGUCGGGUAAGUUCCGACCCGCACGAAAGGCGUANUCAGAAGAUGCGGAAUAACGUGACAUAUUGUAUUCAGUUUUGAAUGUUUAUUUAACAUUCAAAUAUUUUUUGGUUAAAGUGAUAUUGCUUAUGCGAGCGCUUGACAAUCUAUUCUUUUUAAAGAAAGCGAUUGUCAGACAAUGCAUUAAGAAAAAUUAAAGCGGAGUUUACUUUUGUAAAUGAGCAUUUGAUUUUUUGAAAAUAAAGCAGUAUGCGAGCGCUUGACUAAAAAGAAAUUGUACAUUGAAAACUAGAUAAGUAAGUAAAAUAUAGAUUUUACCAAGCAAAACCGAGUGAAUAAAGAGUUUUAAAUAAGCUUGAAUUCAUAAGAAAUAAUCGCUAGUGUUCGAAAGAACACUCACAAGAUUAAUAACGCGUUUCCUGUAGGAU
rnacentral:rRNA from 1 species